GACGAACGCUGGCGGCGUGCCUAAUACAUGCAAGUCGAACGCACUCUCGUUUAGAUUGAAGGAGCUUGCUCCUGAUUGAUAACAUUUGAGUGAGUGGCGGACGGGUGAGUAACACGUGGGUAACCUGCCCUAAAGUGGGGGAUAACAUUUGGAACAGAUGCUAAUACCGCAUAAACCUAACACCGCAUGGGUGUAGGGUUGAAAGAUGGUUUCGGCUAUCACUUUAGGAUGGACCCCGCGGUGCAUUAGUUAGUUGGGUGAGGUAAAGGCUCACCAAGACCGUGAUGCAUAGCCGACCUGAGAGGGUAAUCGGCCACACUGGGACUGAGACACGGCCCAGACUCCUACGGGAGGCAGCAGUAGGGAAUCUUCCACCAAUGGACGAAAGUCUGAUGGA
rnacentral:rRNA from 1 species